AGAGUGAAGUUGCAGCCAAGGAUGACUUGCCGGCAAAUUUCAAAGCAAAAUUGCGAUGAUUUUCGAAUUCCGGCAAGUUGUUCUUGGCUACAGUUUGCUCUCU
rfam:Nicotiana sylvestris Nsyl_contig44894, whole genome shotgun sequence.